rnacentral:rRNA from 1 species
CCUACGGGGGGCUGCAGUGGGGAAUAUUGGACAAUGGGGGCAACCCUGAUCCAGCCAUGCCGCGUGUGUGAAGAAGGCCCUCGGGUUGUAAAGCACUUUCAGUGAGGAAGAACGCCUGGUGGUUAAUACCCAUCAGGAAAGACAUCACUCACAGAAGAAGCACCGGCUAACUCCGUGCCAGCAGCCGCGGUAAUACGGAGGGUGCGAGCGUUAAUCGGAAUUACUGGGCGUAAAGCGCGCGUAGGUGGCUUGAUAAGCCGGUUGUGAAAGCCCCGGGCUCAACCUGGGAACGGCAUCCGGAACUGUCAAGCUAGAGUGCAGGAGAGGAAGGUAGAAUUCCCGGUGUAGCGGUGAAAUGCGUAGAGAUCGGGAGGAAUACCAGUGGCGAAGGCGGCCUUCUGGACUGACACUGACACUGAGGUGCGAAAGCGUGGGUGGCAAACAGGAUUAGAUACCCCUGUAGUC